UACGUAGGGUGCGAGCGUUGUCCGGAAUUAUUGGGCGUAAAGAGCUCGUAGGCGGUUUGUCGCGUCUGCUGUGAAAUCCCGAGGCUCAACCUCGGGCCUGCAGUGGGUACGGGCAGACUGGAGUGCGGUAGGGGAGAAUGGAAUUCCUGGUGUAGCGGUGGAAUGCGCAGAUAUCAGGAGGAACACCGAUGGCGAAGGCAGUUCUCUGGGCCGUAACUGACGCUGAGGAGCGAAAGCGUGGGGAGCAAACAGG
rnacentral:rRNA from 1 species